GGUGCGGUAUCCGCCGGAGGCGGAAAAGGACUGAAAAUCCUAAUGUCGGCGGUUCGAUCCCGUCCCACAUCA